rnacentral:rRNA from 1 species
UGGGGAAUAUUGGACAAUGGGCGCAAGCCUGAUCCAGCAAUGCCGCGUGUGUGAAGAAGGCCUUCGGGUUGUAAAGCACUUUUAUCAGGAGCGAAACGCUGUCGGCUAAUACCCGGCGGAACUGACGGUACCUGAGGAAUAAGCACCGGCUAACUUCGUGCCAGCAGCCGCGGUAAUACGAAGGGUGCAAGCGUUAAUCGGAAUUACUGGGCGUAAAGCGUGCGUAGGCGGUUUCUUAAGUCUGCUGUGAAAUCCCCGGGCUCAACCUGGGAAUGGCAGUGGAUACUGGGAGGCUAGAGUGUGUCAGAGGGUGGUGGAAUUCCCGGUGUAGCGGUGAAAUGCGUAGAGAUCGGGAGGAACAUCAGUGGCGAAGGCGGCCACCUGGGACAACACUGACGCUGAGGCACGAAAGCGUGGGGAGCAAACAGGAUUAGAUACCCUGGUAGUCCACGCCCUAAAACGAUGCGAACUGGAUGUUGGUCUCAACUCGGAGAUCAGUGUCGAAGCUAACGCGUUAAGUUCGCCGCCUGGGGAGUACGGUCGCAAGACUGAAACUCAAAUGAAUUGACGGGGUCAUAGCUGUUUCC